AGUUUCUGUUUGCUAUUUCUUCUAGGUGUCAGUCACAGCAAGGGAUGAUGUACCUUUCUUUGGACCUGCUCUACCUGACCCUGCAAUCUUCAAAAAGGGCCCAGAGUUUCAUGAGUUCCUCUUCACCAAGCUGAUCAAUGCAGAGUAUGCCUGCUACAAGGCUGAGAAGUUUGCAAAGCUGGAGGAGCGUACACGUUCAGCCCUGCUGGAAACAUUAUAUGAAGAACUGCACAUCAACAGUCAGUCCAUGAUGGGUCUGGGUGGGGAGGAAGAUAAGCUGGAGAACGGAGGUGGUGGAGGAGGGGGCGGCUUCUUCGAGUCAUUUAAGGUACAUCAUUAUUUUCAAAUUGAUUGGGCGCACUGGUGAUCUGCAAAACUGCACAAGCAUGAGCAAGAAUGGCGAUGAGUGGAAAAACUUUUCGGAUGUUUUCUUUUCUUUUUGUCCUCUCCUGUCUCUUGGCUGGGAUUCUGGGUAUUCACACAUGAGAAAACAAAGCGUAGAAAAUGUGCAGGAUCUCAGAGGACUAGUCUAUCCCAUUUGCUGUCCUCACUUGGCUGUUAGUGCUGAACGCAGUGGGUUUUCACUUGGCGUAGUGAUUUUUGGAAUCUGCAAAGUGUCCCCUUGUGUAUGCAAGACACUUCUCUACGUCCGAGAGUCCUCCAUCACUGACCGCGGUGAAGCGGCGUCCGGCUGCUGAGGCAUGGCAGCAGGAAUUGUGAAAGUCUGUGGCUGAUGAACGAUUUAAUGACCCUUCAUUAUGCAGCUUAUGAUGCAAUUUGCACACCUCCCCUUGGGUAGCGUCCCAUUAAGGUUUUUCUUUCCUCAAUCCUUUUUCUUCUACCUCAGUCUCAGAUGCUCUCAGUAUUUCUGUAAGCCAGUUUUUUUUUCUUUAAUACCUUUAAAUCAAAGUUGUCAGGUGCUC